rnacentral:ncRNA from 2 species
CUCUUAUCCAGAGUGGUGGAGGGACUGGCCCUAUGAAACCCGGCAACCGGCAUUUAUUGCAACGGUGCUAAGUCCAGCAGAUUAAAUCUGAAAGAUGAGAG